rnacentral:rRNA from 1 species
UUCGGGUCUAGCGGCGGACGGGUGAGUAACGCGUGGGAACGUGCCCUUUGCUACGGAAUAGUCCCGGGAAACUGGGUUUAAUACCGUAUGUGCCCCUUGGCCUUGGCGGUCAUGGGGGAAAGAUUUAUCGGCAAAGGAUCGGCCCGCGUUGGAUUAGGUAGUUGGUGAGGUAACGGCUCACCAAGCCGACGAUCCAUAGCUGGUUUGAGAGGAUGAUCAGCCACACUGGGACUGAGACACGGCCCAG